ACCAGACUCCUACGGGAGGCAGCAGUGGGGGAUAUUGCACAAUGGGGGGAACCCUGAUGCAGCGACGCCGCGUGGGUGAAGAAGCGCCUCGGCGCGUAAAGCCCUGUCAGCAGGGAAGAAAAUGACGGUACCUGAAGAAGAAGCCCCGGCUAACUACGUGCCAGCAGCCGCGGUAAUACGUGGGGGGCAAGCGUUAUCCGGAUUUACUGGGUGUAAAGGGGGCGCAGACGGCGAUGCAAGCCAGGAGUGAAAGCCCGGGGCCCAACCCCGGGACUGCUCUUGGAACUGCGUGGCUGGAGUGCAGGAGGGGCAGGCGGAAUUCCUGGUGUAGCGGUGAAAUGCGUAGAUAUCAGGAGGAACACCGGUGGCGAAGGCGGCCUGCUGGACUGCAACUGACGUUGAGGCCCGAAAGCGUGGGGAGCAAACAGGAUUAGAUACCCUGGUAGA
rnacentral:rRNA from 1 species